rnacentral:rRNA from 1 species
UACGUAGGGUGCAAGCGUUGUCCGGAAUUAUUGGGCGUAAAGAGCUCGUAGGCGGUUUGUCACGUCGGCUGUGAAAACCCGGGGCUCAACCCCGGGCCUGCAUCCGAUACUCCCGGACUGGAGGCAGGUAGGGGAGAUCGGAAUUCCUGGUGUAGCGGUGAAAUGCGCAGAUAUCAGGAGGAACACCGGUGGCGAAGGCGGAUCUCUGGGCCUGUCCUGACGCUGAGGCGCGAAAGCUAGGGGAGCGAACAGG